rnacentral:rRNA from 1 species
ACCGCGACCCCAGGUAAGGCGGGCAUACCCGCUGAGUUUAAGCNUAUCAAUA